UACGUAGGUGGCGAGCGUUGUCCGGAAUUACUGGGUGUAAAGGGCGUGUAGGCGGGGAUGCAAGUCAGAUGUGAAAUUCCGGGGCUUAACUCCGGAGGUGCAUCUGAAACUGUAUUUCUUGAGUGCUGGAGAGGGAAGCGGAAUUCCUAGUGUAGCGGUGAAAUGCGUAGAUAUUAGGAGGAACACCAGUGGCGAAGGCGGCUUUCUGGACAGUAACUGACGCUGAGGCGCGAAAGCGUGGGGAGCAAACAGGAUUAGAAACCCCCGUAGUCC
rnacentral:rRNA from 1 species